rfam:Candidatus Roizmanbacteria bacterium RIFCSPLOWO2_01_FTLL_38_11 rifcsplowo2_01_scaffold_5156, whole genome shotgun sequence.
GGGAUAUUGAACCAAAGCUAACGGCGGAUGCCAUGGUAGCUUAAGCCGAGGAAGGACGUGUGUAUGAGCACGAUAUCGUCGAUGAGCCCUCAAACAGGCACUAUAGUCGGCGGUUUCCGAAUGGGAUAACCCCGGUCGUCGUAAUACGACUGACCACAUGUCUUCGGAUGUGUGGAGGGAACCCGGUGAACUGAAACAUCUAAGUAACCGGAGGAAGAGAAAUCAGAAUACUCCGAAAGAAAUGGAGGAGUUGAGAUUCCGUGAGUAGCGGCGAGCGAAAGCGGAACAGCCUAAACCCGGUCUUCGGACUGGGGGUUGCGGGACCUACAUACGGGAGAUAUAUUGUUAGAAAAAUGUUUUGGAAAAGACAGCCAAAGAAGGUGAGAGCCCUGUAUUCGAAAACGAUGUAUCCUUAGUAGGAUUCCCAAGUACCACGGGACACGGAAAACCCUGUGGGAAGCUGGGGCGGUCAUGCUCCAAGGCUAAAUACUUAAGCUGUCCGAUAGUGAACAAGUACCGUGAGGGAAAGGUGAAAAGUCCCCCGGCGAGGGGAGUGAAAUAGUACCUGAAACCGUUAGCUAACAAACAGACAGAGUCCCGAUGUAAGUCGGGAUGAUGUCGUGCCUAUUGAAGAAUGAGCCAGCGAGUUUUCGUUGCACUGCAAGUCUAACCAAUCUCAUAUUGGGGAGGCGAAGGGAAACCGAGUCUGAAUAGGGCGUUUUAGCAGAUAGCGAAAGACCCGAAACUGAGUGAGCUAACCAUGGGCAGGGUGAACUUCGAGUAAUAUCGAAAGGAGGCCCGAACCCGUUGUCGGUGUAAUGACUUGGGACGACCUGUGGUUAGAGGUAAUAUGCCAAUCGAACUCAGAGAUAGCUGGUUCUCCCCGAGAUAUAUUUAGGUAUAGCCUUCUUGAGUAACUUAUGGGGUAGAGCACUGGAUAGUCUUUCAAGCCUUUGGUGAGAAAGAUUAACCAAACUCCGAAUACAUAAGCUUUAAAUCAAGAGGAGUCAGGCUUGCUCGGAUAAGCGAGUAUGGUCUAAAGGGAAACAACCCAGACUCCCAUCUAAGGUCUCAAAAUGAUUAUUAAGUGGGAAAGGUUGUGAGGUCUCAAAGACAGACGGGAGGUUGGCUUAGAAGCAGCCACCCUUUAAAGAAAGCGUAACAGCUCACCGUAAUAUACCGGCUUGCCGGUAUGAGAUCUUGCGCCGAAAAUGAUCGAGGCUCAAAUAAUCUACCGAAGAUGGAGAUGCUCGUGUUUUACACGGGCGUGGUAGGGGAGCGUUCCGAUUGCAGUGAAGGUUUGAUGUAAAUCAGAUUGGAGCGAUCGGAAGUGAGAAUGCUGGCAUAAGUAGCGAUUCUCCCGAUGAAAAUUCGGGAUGCCGUAUAUCCAAGGUUUCCUCAGCAACGUACAUCGGCUGAGGGUUAGUCGGAUCUAAGGGCCUCGCCGAAAGGCAGGUCUCGAUGUACAAGCCGUUAAUAUUCGGCUACUUUUGAUAGUGCGUUAUUACUAUUGCAUUGACGAAGUGUGAUAAACAGAGCUUUCUAUAUGGGAGUUCAAGCAGCAAGUUUCGACGAGCUGCGAAUACAACCCUGAUGUAAUGUUAGGGGAGUCUGAUACGUUGCGCUUCCGGGAAAAGAUGUAAUAGGAGUGCUAUCAGAAUCCGUACCGCAAACCGACACAGGUGGAUUGGUAGGGAAUACCAAGGCAAUCGAGUAAGGGUGGUUCAAGGAACUCGGCAAAUCAGCUGAGCGUAACUUCGGGAUAUGCUCUCCCCAACUUCGGUUGGGGCUAAGUAAAUGACUUCCAUCUGACUGUUUAGCAAAAACACAGCUCCCUGCAAACCGGAAACGGGACGUAUAGGGGGUGAGGCCUGUCCAGUGCCGGUAAGUCAAGAAUUGGGGUUGAGGCCGAUUUUUUUAAUAAAUUAUCGGACGAGGCUCUGAUUUAAGCUCCGGUGAACGACAGCUCUAACUCUGAGAGUUCUAAGGUAGCGUAGUCCCUUGUCGGGUAAGUUCCGACCUGCAUGAAUGGCUUAACAAGAUGGAAACUGUCUUAAACCACUGCUCGGCGAAAUUGAAAUGGCUGUGAAGAUGCGGCCUUCCUGCACUUGGACAAGAAGACCCCGGGAGCUUUACUGAAACUUAUUAUUGAUGAGAAAUUAUUAACUGUUGAGCGUAGGAGGGAGUCCUGACGCAAGUCGGGACAACAAUGAAACACCUCUCUUUGAUAAUUUCAAGUCUUACCCAGACGUAAGUUAGGGGACAGUAGUAGGCGGUCAGUUUAACUGGGGCGGUUUUCUCCAAAAAGGUAACGGAGAAGCGCAAAGGUUGGCUUAUUCCGGAUGGAAAUCGGAAUGGACGUGUAAACGCUCAAGCCAGCUUAACUGUGAGGACUACAAUCCGAUCAGAUUCGAAAGAAGGCGUUAGUGAUCCCCGAUUCCGCCAUGAUUGCGGAACGGGCUUAACGGAUAAAAGCUACCCCGGGGAUAACAGGCUGGUCUCCCCUGAGAGUUCAUAUCGACGGGGAGGUUCGGCACCUCGAUGUCGGCUCAUCGCAUCCUGGAGCGGUAGUACGUUCCAAGGGUUGGUCUGUUCGCCCAUUAAAGCGGUACGCGAGCUGGGUUCAGAACGUCGUGAGACAGUUUUUUAAAACGGGCUGUCCCUCUUUUCNNNNNNNNNNNNNNNNNNNNNCGGAUAUACUGUAUCCAGUUAAAAUGCUUGUGUGUUCUUCAUCUAAAGAGGAGCAAGACAAUCAGCAGGAAAGACUAGAUGAAAAUACAACAGAAUAUUACCAACGAAUAUCUUGCUGGUUUUGUUGACGGAGAAGGAAGCUUCUAUAUUGGAGUUGUCCCAUCAACUGAAACAAAAUCGCAUUGGCAAGUUAUUCACUUUUUUAAAGUCUCACAAAACCCAAAAGGGAGAAUUGUUCUCGAUACUCUAAAAAAGAAGCUUGGUACCGGAUCGAUUCGUCCAAAUCAUAAAGAUUCAGACGAUAAAUCCCUCGCUUUUGUAAUACGAGACCUUAAGUCGCUUGAUGAACAAGUAAUUCCUUUCUUUAAAGAAUUACUUGUUAUAAAAAGACAUGAGCUUGAACAGUUCACAAGAGUGAUUGAGCUCGUGAAGCGAAAAGCGCAUUUGACCAAAUCUGGUAUUAAAGAAAUACUAGAUAUUGCGUAUUCAAUGAAUACUCAAAAACGUAAAUGGACAAAGCAACGUAUUCUUAAUGAUAUUUCAUCUAGAAUCCCCACAGACUAUACGCCAGAUCCAGCGAACAUUCAAUAAAUGACGCUGGAAAGAUAUAGUCGAAUCCCUGCAGUGAUGUAGGGUAAUUUGGAGUCAUGUCGGACUCUAUCCAGUGCAGGCGUUUGGAUUCUUGAGAGGGCUCUUCUCUAGUACGAGAGGACCGAGAAGAGGGAAUCCCUGGUGUAUCAGUUGUCCCACAAGGGCAUUGCUGAGUAGCUAUAUUCCUACGUGAUAAGAACUGAAAGCAUCUAAAGUUCGAAGCACACCUCAAGAUGAGGAAUCCCCAUAGUCCCCCGGAAGAUUACCGGGUUGAUAGGCGCACGGUGUAAGCUCCGCAAGGGGUUUAGCCUAUGCGUACUAAUGGACGACUCAAUAUCCCGC